GUAUAAGUUUUAUAGGUCAAAAGACCCACAAGUUACAUUCUAGACUUUUUAUAGUAGAUGAGACAUAGACUGUGAAAUCGAAAGACAGCUAGGCGCAAGUCCUUCAAUCCAACGGAAAAACCAUUGAGAGUUAUCACAGUCUACAAAAGUUCACAGGUGGUAAAGAUGAAUUUGAAGUGCGUGCACAUGCUCCGAAAAGCCAGCUACAACACUCCAGUUAUUCAGUAAUGAUCCUUCCGCAGGUUCACCUACGGAAA
rnacentral:misc_RNA from 1 species